rnacentral:rRNA from 1 species
CUACGGAGGGGGUUAGCGUUGUUCGGAAUUACUGGGCGUAAAGCGCACGUAGGCGGACUGGAAAGUUGGGGGUGAAAUCCCGGGGCUCAACCCCGGAACUGCCUCCAAAACUUCCUAUCUAGAGAUCGAGAGAGGUGAGUGGAAUUCCAAGUGUAGAGGUGAAAUUCGUAGAUAUUUGGAGGAACACCAGUGGCGAAGGCGGCUCACUGGCUCGAUACUGACGCUGAGGUGCGAAAGCGUGGGGAGCAAACAGGAUUAGAAACCCUAGUAGUCC